UACGUAGGGCGCAAGCGUUGUCCGGAAUUAUUGGGCGUAAAGAGCUCGUAGGCGGCCUGUUGCGUCCGCUGUGAAAUCCCGGGGCUCAACCCCGGGCCUGCAGUCGAUACGGGCAGGCUAGAGUUCGGCAGGGGAGACUGGAAUUCCUGGUGUAGCGGUGAAAUGCGCAGAUAUCAGGAGGAACACCGGUGGCGAAGGCGGGUCUCUGGGCCGAUACUGACACUGAGGAGCGAAAGCGUGGGGAGCGAACAGG
rnacentral:rRNA from 1 species